rnacentral:lncRNA from 1 species
UCAGAGAGAGCUAGCAUCUGCUGAGGUCCCCUCGGCUGGAUGCCCUACGCAUUUUACACACAUUGUCUCAUUUAUCUCUAGGGUUGGUUUGAACAAAGAAGUGCUUUGAGAGUUCAGAUGUGGAGCCAGGAACCCUGCCUGCCAUGGGAUGCAGGGAGAGGGGGUGGCGAGCAGGCCACAGCGACCCCAAGAAGCUGCUCCAACCCCUGGGACUAUGGAGCUCUACAGCUGUAGAGACCACCAGGAAGUGGACUGCAGGCCCCUGGCCUCUCCAUUCAGAUUCUGCAAAGAGAUCCUGAUGGGUUGGGCCAAUGGGUCAGGCAUCCAGUCAGCUCUGGCUAAGGGGUGAAGGAGUCAGGUGUUACCAACGUGGUGGCAGGGGCCACCUUGAAGCUGUGUUCUGUGCCAUGGAAGAAGGAAGAGGAGGAGGAAGCUAAGCUGGAAGGGAAGGCAGGCUAGGCUCCUGGAGUCAGUAGUUGGAAUCUCAGAUGGGAAGAAACCUUAAAAGUCAUCUGGUCCAGUAUUUUCCAAAGCAUGUUCCAUGAACUUGUUUUCCAGAAAUGGUUUCCUGGUCUGG